GCCGGGGUGGCGGAAUGGUAGACGCGCGCGUCUCAAAAACGCGUGGGGCGACCCGUGCGGGUUCGAGUCCCGCCCUCGGCACCA
rnacentral:tRNA from 1 species